CUGGACAGGGGUGGUUUCUGGCGGAACCAAAAGUAGUUUUGUGGUCCCCUGGUUCACCCCUGUCGAUUCGACUACUUUUCCGUCGAAAUCCGGACCCAUCAAUUUUCGCUAAAAACACAAAUGUAAAUUUGGCCAAAAAUGAAAAAAAUAAAAAUCGCUGGAAAUGAUUGGAAUUGGUCUGGGAGAGUCGCCUUUGACCUCCUCUGUCGAAAUUGCGUGCUUCCUGGCUCUUUUGCAUCCUGUUUCUUCGACUAUAAAAUUGCGUCUUUGGUUUGUCGCAGGAAGAUUGGCCUGGAGGUGACCUGACUUGGACAUCAGCAAAGCAGCCUAUGUGUCACCUGCAGUAUGCUGAGUUGGCGUCGCAGCACACAGCAGAAGGAAUCGCUCCUUUUUCUCAUGAUCGCAGGAAUGAAUCUGGUAUUCAGAUUCGCUCCAAGUCACCAGCAGAAACAAGCCAGCUACUUGAGGAAGACUUACUCUUAUAAUGUAAAUGAUUUGAAACAAUAAAGAAUAGAAAAUCACUA